AGAUCGACGACUAGGAUCAAAUGUUCUGCCAGCAGACGCCGGUGGUCUGCCAAUCGUCGAAGCGCUCUGCGCCCCCGAUCCGCACGACUCCGCCCACAACGCGGAUCAAAUCCACCUGAAUCCCACUAAUUCCUCUGCUCCGGUCCUUUCCAUCUUCCCAAAUCGUGCCGUCCCCACAGUCCCCUCCACCAUAUCGCCUCCAAGCGAGCCCAGCGCUGCCGAUCUCCCGUGCCGCCGCCAUCUCCGCCGCCUCCUUGACACAAGGCCACCACCAUUGAGCCCCACUCUGGCGUGCCUGCUGCACUUCGGCCAUGGCAGUCAUUGCCACCGUGACUCUGUCCUCGGGAUCUCAUCCUACUGUCCUGGAUCGGGGCGGCAGUGGCGAUUUGGAUCCGGGCGGCGGCGGCUGAGCAAGGGCACCGGUGCUGUCUAGGUACAUCUCUUCCCUCUGUCCCUGCCUCCCUCCCUCUCUCUGCCCCGUCGAGGUCGCUGUGAGCCCGUGACCGUGGACUGGCGGGGAACUCCGGUAGCAGGUAACGGGGAGCUUUGACAGCGAGGAAUCGCAAGCACGGGUGCUCUGCUGGCGGAGGCAUGUUUUGGGGACGGGGAGACCUCCGGCCGUGGGGAAUGGAGGGAGCUUUGGAUGCAAACUGAAUUUCAUCUCUCUCUCUGUUCUUUUUUCUGCUGAUGGCACAGAAGAACAUUGGUAAUGUUGAGCUGACAAAGAGAAGUAGCAGACUAAUUUCUAUGUCGACUAGACGAUGAUUUGCUCCCUGUAUGUGGUUUCCUCUGUAUUCUUUAUAUGAUGUUAUUUUGUGAUCCUUGAGUAUGGAAAUAGCAUGGUGUGCAGCGUUGCCCUUGUGAGCAAUCUCUGAUGCUACUGAUGUUUAUAUAUGUAUUACUUAUGGCACUAGGAUUCAAUCCUCACUGAAGAUUGAAUUCCAUCUUCUUGGUUAGAAUACACAAAGGAUUUGAAUUGUGAAUCUUGUAAGGACAUUUAUGUGAAAUUUAACAUGACUAAUUUGAGACCAGCAAAGAGGAUUGGGCCCGAAGAAAUGUUGAUAUUGUGCUAGGUCCAGAAGGCGAUAUGUCGAGCUAUGCGUAGCCUGCUUUCAAUGGCUUAUUUAAACGGGUGUCUCCUUUUCCUUUGUAUGUGUUUUCGAGUCUCAUUUCGUGUAAAAAUAGCCUGUAGAUGUCCUGCGGUGUGAUUUUAUUUUUCGAGUUCAGCUCUGUGUUAUCAUAGAAUUCAGGUAAGGGAGAUCAAGAAGAUGUUUCAUAUGUCAGCACAACUACUGGAGGAUUUGCAGGUGAGCAACUAUUAUAUGAGUUUGGAUGGCCGAAUAUCAGUAGUACAUCAAAAUCUAUGGCUUUAUAUAGUUUGUCACAUACUGUCUUAUUUCAUAUAUGAUGACCAUAUCAAAUGAAGUGUUUGUUUCUUUUUCAUUCAGUGUACAUUGAUUCCAGUGUAACAAGAACAGAAAAUAAGGUACUCUCUAAAUAAUGUGUGAGGUUUCAGAUUCUGUAAUUUGUUUUACUGUUGCUAACUGAGCAUGCUUAGAUAAUGGGGUGAUUUGAGUGGAGUUUCAGAGUCGACCGUUCAUGUCUGCAGUCUCAAGUUUCUAUAUGUAUAGUUUGAGACAUAAUAAGUACUUAUCAUUUCAGAAAGUUUCAUGUUUCAUACUUAUGAUUGAUACUGAUUGUAUUCACGUAAUUGGGACACUUGGAUACGGUGGUUGGCUAACUAAUAAGUAAGAUGUACCCAGUUCUGCAUAAAGAUUUAGGCACCCUAAUUUCUUAAGUCUUUGUGGAGUCAGAGGUCUUGAAUGUUUUUGUUCGAAGUCUUUUUGAAAUGAUGAGUGAUGCAUGCCUAUUCAAUGGUUUACAUGGUACUGCAAGUGAAGAAAUGAUUUGUACUGAACCAUCUAAUGGGUUAUUGUGUUUCUUUGAAGUCAUGAAUUUGUACCAAGUGACGCCCUCAUUGGCAUUCUUUUUGAAAGAUAUCCAAGAUAGUUAAAGCAUCAUGGGGACGAGGAGGCCGAGCAGUCCGUUGUGUCUCUGUCGUCACCGGGCGCACUGUGGCACAUGGAACUUUCUCUAUCAGUUCAGGCUGGACGAGCAAGACGACAUAUUGCAGACCGGGACCAAGAGUUAUGUUCAUCAUCAGUUAUAUGUGUUAAUACUCUCCUAGAGAUUGAUUUCUUUGCGAUCGCAAAAAAAGGGGUCAGAUACAUGGCGAGCUACCAAAUAUCAAGUUGCAAAUGCCUUCGUUGCUUUGGACCUUGCCAUGGAAGGAUCAACACUAAAUGACCACAAAAUGCCUCUAGAUUAUGAGUAAGCGUGUUUCUACCUUCAGCGGUAUGGGCAUCUGCUUUGUCUCUCUGGCUGGUUUCACGGGUACCUGAUUUUUCUUGGAACAGUCACAGGUGCUGCAGCUUGGUUUGCUGACUAGCAAUGUUUUGUUUCUUAGGUGGACAAACUUGUAUCUCAGAACGUUGAUGAAUUAUUUCAUUUGAUCAGCUUAUGUGGAAACUACUAA